rnacentral:rRNA from 1 species
ACGUAGGGUGCGAGCGUUAAUCGGAAUUACUGGGCGUAAAGCGUACGCAGGCGGCUGGGUAAGACAGGUGUGAAAUCCCCGGGCUUAACCUGGGAACUGCGUUUGUGACUGCAUCACUCGAGUACGGCAGAGGGAGGUGGAAUUCCGCGUGUAGCAGUGAAAUGCGUAGAUAUGCGGAGGAACACCGAUGGCGAAGGCAGCCUCCUGGGCCAAUACUGACGCUCAUGCUCGAAAGCGUGGGGAGCAAACAG